rnacentral:lncRNA from 1 species
CAGGUGUGGAGUUCCGGGCUGGGCGACCGUCAGCGCGAAGAGGGGGCGCCGGUCGGAGGCCAGCCUGCUAGCCGGCAGCCUGGGACCUGGUGGGACUACAUUAUAUGGUAGCUCUUUGUUACAGCACUUAAUAUAGUCCCUUGAACAGACGAGGAGAUGGUAUGCACGAGAGCAGCUCCUUACUGACUACGUGGACAGGUAACGUAAGCCCUCUACCUCAGUUUCCUCAUCUGUAAAUGCAGAUUAUAGUUUCUCACAAAGUUGUGGGCUUCAAGGAGCGUGUAUAGGAAACUGCUUUGUGAAGAGUAAACGUAAAGCGCUUGAGAAUUCGUUGUAAGGGCUAUUUGCAUGCUGCAAGUCAUUUGACACCCCUCGUCCCACAUCACCAGCUAAGGCCACCUUCUCUUUUGUGUGACCACCAAAUAAGUCCGAUAUUCAACCAGAAAAUAGGGUGGUCAUGCCUUGGUCCUGUGAAUGCAAAGAAACAGCGACAAAUUUUGAACCUAAACUUUCUCUCCUUGUUUUACACACUUCCAGGUCCAUGGCUUCAAAUUACAACCCCUGCGUGGAUGUCUCACACAUUUAAAUUUCUCGCUCACGUAAAUCUCUAGUGUUCCGUCUCAGUGAGUCAUACCAUCGUCCACCUAGUUUGAAGCCAGAAAUCUUGGGUUCAUCCUUGACACCUGCCCUUCCUUUUUCCUUCCAUAUCCAAAUCAUCAUCAAAGUCUGUUCAUUUUAUCUUCAAACCAACCUCAAACCCAUCUACUUAUUUCUGUUUCUACCGCUGUCACCAUAGACCAAGCUACCAUCAUCUCUACGCGGUCUCCUGUAGUGGACUCCUGACUGGUCUAAUGGUACUCACCCUGUCCUUUCAAUAUUCCCAUCCGUUCUUUGCAGCAGGAGUAAUCUUUUAUAAGCUGAAGUUUGGUUAUGAUCCCCCCCUUCCCCCAACCCCCGUGCUUAAACUCCAUCAUGACUUCUCAUUGCUCUUGGGAUAAAGAUACAGCUCUUUAAUGUGGCCUACAAACUGAGCGACCAUAUACUUUGUCAUUCAGACCAAGAGACUUUUGAGAAUAAAAGACAGUGCUAUUAUUUACACUGGG